AACUAUGCAGAGCAAGAUAUUUUGGUCCUCAAACUAUGCAGAGCAAGAUAUUUUGGUCCUCAAACUUUAUUUUAUUAUAAUUUUUAUUUGAAUUUUUAAAUUAUUAUAAUUAAGUUUAAUAAUUUAGUUUAGUUGGCUAAAUAUUGACAAAUUAUUGAUAUAAAAGUAAUAUACAAGUAUUGUGAUAGAUGAUUUGACAAUAAUUAAGGUACUAUAUCACUCCUACAUCAGCAAUUUAUCAAUUUAUCAGUAUUUAGUCAACUAAAUUGGAUUGCGGUUGAUUAUAAUAAUUCAGAAAGUUCGAGUUAGAAAUUACAAUAAAUUAAAAUUUGACGACAAGAGUAUUCAGCACCUUAUAGUU
rnacentral:lncRNA from 1 species